rnacentral:rRNA from 1 species
AAGUAGCGUGAAGGAUGAAGGUUUAUGGAUUGUAAACUUCUUUUAUACGGGAAUAACGAAUCCACGCGUGGAUUUUUGCAUGUACCGUAUGAAUAAGGAUCGGCUAACUCCGUGCCAGCAGCCGCGGUAAUACGGAGGAUCCGAGCGUUAUCCGGAUUUAUUGGGUUUAAAGGGAGCGUAGAUGGGUUGUUAAGUCAGUUGUGAAAGUUUGCGGCUCAACCGUAAAAUUGCAAUUGAUACUGGCAGUCUUGAGUACAGUUGAGGUAGGCGGAAUUCGUGGUGUAGCGGUGAAAUGCUUAGAUAUCACGAAGAACUCCGAUUGCGAAGGCAGCUUACUAACCUGUAACUGACAUUGAUGCUCGAAAGUGUGGGUAU